rnacentral:rRNA from 1 species
UACGUAGGGGGCAAGCGUUGUCCGGAAUUAUUGGGCGUAAAGAGCUCGUAGGCGGCUUGUCGCGUCGGAUGUGAAAGCCCGGGGCUUAACUCCGGGUCUGCAUUCGAUACGGGCUAGCUAGAGUGUGGUAGGGGAGAUCGGAAUUCCUGGUGUAGCGGUGAAAUGCGCAGAUAUCAGGAGGAACACCGGUGGCGAAGGCGGGUCUCUGGGCCGAUACUGACGCUGAGGAGCGAAAGCGUGGGGAGCGAACAGG